rnacentral:rRNA from 1 species
GACGAACGCUGGCGGCGUGCUUAACACAUGCAAGUCGAACGGAAAGGCCCCUUUGGGGGUACUCGAGUGGCGAACGGGUGAGUAACACGUGCGUAACCUGCCCUUGACUUCGGGAUAACUUCAGGAAACUGGGGCUAAUACCGGAUAGGAAUCCUUGCUGCCUGGUGGGGGUUGGAAAGCUUCGGCGGUUUUGGAUGGACUCGCGGCUUAUCAGCUUGUUGGUGGGGUAGUGGCUUACCAAGGCUUUGACGGGUAGCCGGCCUGAGAGGGCGACCGGCCACAUUGGGACUGAGAUACGGCCCAGACUCCUACGGGAGGCAGAAGUGGGGAAUAUUGCACAAUGGGCGGGAGCCUGAUGCAGCAACGCCGCGUGCGGGAUGACGGCCUUCGGGUUGUAAACCGCUUUCAGCAGGGGCGAAGCUUGUGGUGACGGUACCUGCAGAAGAAGCACCGGCUAACUACGUG